GGAGGAUUCGCAUAGUGGUCUAGUGCGCAGUCCUGGAAAGACUGUGGGUCUUAACGGGCCCCGAGAGUUCGAAUCUCUCAUCCUCCG
rnacentral:tRNA from 1 species